rnacentral:rRNA from 1 species
UAGCAUACGGAUAAGCAUCGGCUAACUCCGUGCCAGCAGCCGCGGUAAUACGGAGGAUGCAAGCGUUAUCCGGAUUUAUUGGGUUUAAAGGGUCCGUAGGCGGGCUAAUAAGUCAGCGGUGAAAUCCUGCAGCUCAACUGCAGACCUGCCGUUGAUACUGUUAGUCUUGAAUAGUAUUGAAGUAGCUAGAAUGUGUAGUGUAGCGGUGAAAUGCAUAGAUAUUACACAGAAUACCAAUUGCGAAGGCAGGUUACUAAUUACUGAUUGACGCUGAUGGACGAAAGCGUGGGUAGCGAACAGGAUUAGAUACCCUGGUAGUCCACGCUGUAAACGAUGGAUACUCGUUGUUGGAGGAUUUAUUCUUCAGUGACUAAGCGAAAGUAAUAAGUAUCCCACCUGGGGAGUACGAUCGCAAGAUUGAAACU